rnacentral:rRNA from 1 species
ACAUAUAGGUUGUAGGGAACUGAAAGGGACCGACCCUUCGGGAGCCUAUACAGGUGUUGCAUGGCUGUCGUCAGCUCGUGUCGUGAGAUGUUCGGUUAAGUCCGCUAACGAGCGCAACCCUCGUCGUAUGUUAUAUGUGUCAUACGAGACUGCCGGUAAAAGCCGGAGGAAGGUGAGGAUGAUGUCAAGUCAGCAUGACCUUUAUAUCCAGGGCUACACACACGCUACAAUGGUCUGUACAAUGGGUAGCCAAGCCGCGAGGCGGAGCCAAUCCUGAAAGCAGGCCUCAGUUCAGAUUGUAGGCUGCAACCCGCCUGCAUGAAGAUGGAGUUGCUAGUAACCGCAGGUCAGCUAUACUGCGGUGAAUACGGUUCCCGGGGCUU